GUUCUAUUUUAUUUUAUUUUUUUUAGGGGAAUGAAAUUUUUAUUUUUUUGAGGUUUUUUUAAUCGCAAUUAGUAUUAGGUGCUUGUAUGUGACUGCUAAAGUAUUGAUUUUUUUUUAUUUUUCUCUUUUUGUUGCUGUUUUGGUUUGUUUGAUUACUCAAGUAUUUUUUUUUCUUCCUUAUUUUUGGUCUUAGAUUACGAUUUAUGCUCAGUUACCAUGUGAAACUCCUGCAGGUCGUCACUAAAAUUCCCAAAACAA
rnacentral:misc_RNA from 1 species